UGCAUUCACUGCUGUAAUUCGCUCUGGAUAAGAGCGUCUGCUAAAUGACUAAAA
rfam:Salmo salar isolate Sally breed double haploid chromosome ssa11, whole genome shotgun sequence.